UUUUUUUUUUUUUUUUGCUAAACAUGUUAAUAUCAUAAAAUAUGAAAACGUUUGACUGUUACAAAGAGUAGAGCCUGAGAAUAUUGAAACCUUGGCAAAAAGAAUAAAAACAAGGAGAUAAUUUGGGGAAAUCACAGACGUGAGAUCAAGAUAACCAACACUGCAUCAGAUUGUAAAAAGGCUUCCUAUGGCGUCUUGCAGAGAUGAUGUUGCGAAUGUCCUUGUCAAGAAGCAAGAAGAUAGCUGGAGGUGAGAUUGCUUGUUGAUUGUGGACGAGAUUAUUGCGUUGCUUCCAGAUGUGGUAAAUGGUUGCUUGGACAAUGAUUUUCCUUAGAAGAAUCGGUGCAGCUUGCGAACCGGAUCUUACCCAAGAAAGAAGUUCAGACCACGAAAGGAGCAACGACCUGUUAGGGUCAAGUUUUAAGAAAACCAGUCGCCAAAUAGCUUGAGAGAAGGCGCAGAUUAGGAACAGAUGGUCUCUAGAUUCAAUGUCUGCAGCACAAAAACUGCAAUUCGGAGAAGGAAUAAUACCCCAAGAGAACAGACGCUUUCAACAUUGUUGCUGGAUUUUGCCUUAGUGUCUCUCCGGUUCGAUCUCUUGUCGUGCUUGUGUGAGUUUGGUGUGACCCGGUUGGAUUUAUGAUCGCUCCUUGUCUCUACUCAAAAGAUCUGAUCGAGAUCUGCUCAAUUUAAAGGUUUCUACCGAGACGUUUAAAAGUCGUCGUUCUUUCGACAUCGUCGUUUCCGGGAGAAGUGUGAGGAUCUAGACAUUUCUGUCUUGAAUCCAUCUUGCUGGAUUAGAAGCCCAAGAGCGCAUAGGUUGUGAGAUUUCGAGAAGCUGCAACAAGUAGCACAUGGAAAUUUCAUGGAACAUCUUGCAAGAAACACUAGAGGCAAAAGUUGGGAAAAGUAACAGUCUGUAUCACAAUCCAAGAACAUCAAUCGAUGAGCCAUAGCGCAAGAUAUGCAUGGCAUUAAAAGUGACACCAUAAGGUUAUCCUGAAUAGAUUCAUUCACACAUAUAUAGAUUCGACUGUUGGAUACAACAGUUAACUUACUAGUAAGGAUGCAAGUUUGAUCCAAAGAGAAGAACUAAUACCUCUUUACAAGGAGGAAAGAUGACUUUCUCAAUAGUUGUUGGUAAAGAGUAUCUCUAACAAGCUUAUAUCAUCAUCACUAAUACGUUUGCUGAGUUUCUGAAUGAUAAAUUAUUUAUGUGACUGCAGCUCUGCUGGAUGAUUCUUGCAAAAGUCCACAUAGCAAGCAUCAUAUCUUCCUCAACCAAAAAAGCAUGACCAAGAGAGAAAAAAAAGUACCUUUGCGAAGUUUGGCAUUGCAAUGUGAAGUUUGUUGCAGAAGAUCAUUGAGGGUCAAGCCUUUCCUUUUUUCAGCUGCCACACUUUGCUCAGGAAGUAUCAUUUCUGCAAUAUAAACAAAAGAAAGUUUCAACCACCUAUACUCACAGAAGCAAAAAAAAAAAAAAAAGAAGUUUGAAUUGCAUGAGAAAGCAAUAUACCUUUUGAUUUUUGAAUCUUAGGCAAUUUUCUCCCGAGUUUUCUCUUAAUUUUCUGCAAAAUUAACACCAAAAAAUUGUCAAACACUUGAAGAAGAUUCAUAAGAAAAGAGAGAGCAAUUUUAAAAGGGUGCUACCUUGAAAGCAAUUCGUUUAUUUUGCUGCUUCUUUGCAGGAGCCUUGGAGUGAAGAACCAUUUGUUAUAUCUUAUAGAGCUACGUAAAACUCAAUGAAGAUUCUCACAAAGACCUAAUAACGGAGACAGAGGUGGUGGUCAACUGUUUUUUAAAAAAGUCACUUAGGGUUUAACUAUUUAAGUGUUAUGAAUAAGUAUUGUUAUAUGAAUAUCCAUUAUAGCCCCA